UACGUAGGUGGCAAGCGUUGUCCGGAAUUACUGGGUGUAAAGCGCGUGUAGGCGGGAGGCCAAGUCUGCUGUGAAAUCGCCCGGCUCAACUGGGCGGGGUCGGUGGAAACUGGUCACCUGGAGGACGGUAGAGGCGAGUGGAAUCCCGGUGUAGUGGUGAAAUGCGUAGAGAUCGGGAGGAACACCAGUGGCGAAGGCGGCUCGCCUGGGCCGGACCGUGGACG
rnacentral:rRNA from 1 species